rfam:Schistosoma haematobium scaffold3931_1, whole genome shotgun sequence.
AUCCAGCUGACGAGUCUCGAUUAUGAUGAAAUGCGCGUCAUGGAU